rnacentral:misc_RNA from 1 species
GUCCAUCCAUGGAAAUUUUAAACUAAAACAAAAUAAUUUAUGUUUGCAUACACAUCUCUUGCAUGCAUUAUUGUUCAUACUGAGUAGCAUUGAUCCCCAAAUCUUAAAAUGUCCAAGAAGCGUGGAUAAAAUAAAUUUUAACAAAGUAUACUGUUCAAUAUAGAAUGGCAUAGAGAGAAAAGGUACACGCUUUUAUUAGAUUUGGGAACGAAGUAAACACUUUCAAUCUCCGUCAUUAGCUUAGCUGUUUCCUUCACAAUUGCGUCUUCCAAGCUUAAUACUGUUUCAAGAGGUCGCCCAACAACCACACACCGAGCGCAGAGAGUUGGACAUGACAGCUACAAGUUUCUGUUGAAUAGAACAGAAACAAUUCCAGGCAGUGUCUAGCUUCAGUUUUGCAAAUAGCCAAGUACCGAGUUUGGAGAGACCCAAACAAGCAUAUAUCAAAGAAUUGUACGCCAUAAAGGUGGAGAAAAUGAAGGUCAGAGCCAAUGACCAUACAAGAGCGUAACUUGAAACUUCACGGCCCAAAACUCUAACCGCGAAUUUGGGCGUAAUUUUAACCAUUAACAAUGCAUAAAGAAUACCAACAGUAAUCAGCGUAUAGAUCACAAGUGGUCUACAAGGAAUUGACCACAAAAGGACUAUGAUCGCCCCUGAACAGACAAUAAGGACGUUUGUGGCAAAUGUAAGUACAUAGAAGUUCAGAGGCAAGUGACCAGAUAAUACUUCUUCUGCAUGAAAAUAUGCCAGAUCUGAUAAAAUCUGGUGAUCUUCUGCAGAAGAAGAGCCCUGGAGAAGGGAAACCAGGCUCAACACAGAUGCAAUAGCUACUCCCAAUACCUUCAGAAUCGUGUCUUUUGUUUCAGGAUUCCACUGGAGGACCAUCCCUAGAUCUCAGCAUACACA